UACGAAGGGGGCUAGCGUUGUUCGGAAUCACUGGGCGUAAAGGGUGCGUAGGCGGGUCUUUAAGUCAGGGGUGAAAUCCUGGAGCUCAACUCCAGAACUGCCUUUGAUACUGAAGAUCUUGAGUUCGGGAGAGGUGAGUGGAACUGCGAGUGUAGAGGUGAAAUUCGUAGAUAUUCGCAAGAACACCAGUGGCGAAGGCGGCUCACUGGCCCGUUACUGACGCUGAGGCACGAAAGCGUGGGGAGCAAACAGG
rnacentral:rRNA from 1 species